AGUGAACGCUGGCGGUAGGCCUAACACAUGCAAGUCGAACGGCAGCACAGUAAGAUCUUGCUCUUACGGGUGGCGAGUGGCGGACGGGUGAGGAAUACAUCGGAAUCUACUUUUUCGUGGGGGAUAACGUAGGGAAACUUACGCUAAUACCGCAUACGACCUACGGGUGAAAGCAGGUGAUCUUCGGACCUUGCUCGAUUGAAUGAGCCGAUGUCGGAUUAGCUAGUUGGCGGGGUAAUGGCCCACCAAGGCGACGAUCCGUAGCUGGUCUGAGAGGAUGAUAAGCGAAACUGGAACUGAGAAACGGUAAAGACUACUACGGGAGGAAGCAGUGGGGAAUAUUGGACAAUGGGCGAAAGCCUGAUACAGCAAUACCGCGUGGGUGAAGAAGGCCUUCGGGUUGUAAAGCCAUUUUGUUGGGAAAGAAAAGCAGCAGGUUAAUACCCCGCUGUUAUGACGGUACCAAAAGAAUAAGCACCGGCUAACUUCGUG
rnacentral:rRNA from 1 species